rnacentral:rRNA from 1 species
CGUUGCGGGCCUUCACCUGCAGUCGACGGUGAAUCGAGCUUGCUCUGUGGAUCAGGGGCGAACGGGGGAAUACCGCCCGAGUAACCUGCCCUUGACUCUGGGAUGAGCGUUGGAAACGACUUCUAAUACCGGAUACGAGCCUCAGCCGCAUGGCUAGGGGUUGGAAAGAUUUUUUGGUCAAGGAUGGACUCGCGGCCUAUCAGCUUGUUGGUGAGGUAAUGGCUCACCAAGGCGACGACGGGUAGCCGGGCUGAGAGGGUGACCGGCCACACUGGGACUGAAACGCGGCCCAUACUCCUACGGGAGGCAGCCUGGGGGAAUAUUGCCCAAUGGGCGCAAGCCUGAUGCAGCAACGCCGCGUGAGGGAUGACGGCCUUCGGGGUGUAAACCUCUUUUAUUAGGGAAGAAGCGAAAGUGACGGUACCUGCAGAAAAAGCACCGGCUAACUACGUGCCAUCAGCCGCGGUGGUACUUAAGGUGCAAGCGUUGUCCGGAAUUAUUGGACGUAAAGAGCUCGUACGCGGUUUGUCACGUCUGCUGUGAACUCUGGAGGCUCAACCUCCGACCUGCGAUGGGUACUGGCAGACUAGAGUGCGGUAUGGGAGAUUGGAAUUCCUGGUGUAGCGGUGAAAUGCGCUCAUAUCACGAGGAUCGCCGAUGACGAGCGAAGAUCUCUGGACCGUACCUGACGCUAUGGAGCGAAAGCCCGGGGAGCAAACAGGAUUAGAUACCCUGGUAGUCCACGCCCGUAUACGGUUGGCACCUAUAUGUGGUGACCAUUUCCACCGCUCUGCCAUGUCGCAGGCUAACGACUAUUAACUUCCACACCGACCUGGGACGAGUAGCCGCUCGCGCCAAGCGGAAAGAAAUCAAUAUGAAUUGAACUUGCGGAAACCCAGCGACGACG